CGCACUCUGGAAUAUCUGGCGGAGGUCCUUCUCUUCCUCCCGGCCAAUGGAUUUUCUUACCAGACAUAGAAUUAUAUUCUCGAUUUAAUCCUGAAUAAUGAGCGACUACUUCAAACCUAUAUGCCAUCCCUGAUAUCGCCACCCUCGGCCAAGGUCUCAUUCAGUGCAAUUCCUAACAAGUAAACACCAUCGUAAAAAGCCCCGACGAAGAAAUUCACCUGCGGGAAAAACGAUCUAUCAUGAUUUACUAAUGGACGUGACCGGAUUCAACUAUAAAUAUUAUUACAAUUGACUCACUUCUUCGCCUUCCGAAAAUGUGUAAUUGUAAUCCGACUGCGCGCGUUGCCUUACAUUAUCGGCGAAUCCCUGAAAUCGCGGACUAGUCGGCUGAAGAAGAGAGACCCUCAGUAGAGCUUCAUAAGCCUUUCUGGCAGCGGCGUCGUCCUCGUCUCCAACCUCCCAGUCGUGAUCGCCCCACUUGCAAGACAUCCUGUAAAUGUAAGACAACCGGGAUUGCACUCACUUCUGGCGUACAUGCUUGCAUCGCGAAGGUAAAGAUGAUACGACUCAUCCUCGGAAUUUCCGUCCAAAUCCCUCACAAACUUCA